ensembl:lncRNA CCDST cervical cancer associated DHX9 suppressive transcript
AAAUGCUCCACAUGGCCCCAGUCACCCUGCAGAAAAGAAAUCAUCAGCUUUCUGCAGCAUCAGACUUAGCAGCAUCUUCCUGUCCCAAGAGAAGAGGGGAUGGGAGGAUGGCAUGGUUCAGGGCUUAGGGGAGGAUAGGGGAGAAAAAGUGGAAGCAAAGGGAGAGGCCCAGGAAGGAUUUUGUUGCGACAUGUUACCUGGGCUGCACCUGCUGUAUGCAAGAGAAGAGGCUGGGAGUCCCCUCUGCAGGGUGUUCAUGCCCCAUCUCUGUGCCACGAGGAGUUGGGCUGCUGAAGGAUAUAUCAGCACAACUUCUCUGCUCCAACUAGUCUACAUUGCAAAGCAUCUCCUAGUGUCUUUGGAAGAAGGAUCUAUGGUGUUAUAUGUGAACAAAGAUGUAGACUAGUAAGGUAUCAAGAUUUGAUGGGGAUAUCCAGACAACUUGGAGCCAAGUCCCCACAGCUGGAUCAGACAACUUUUGGUGACAUCUCACAGUGUGGAUUAUCAAGCCAGUGUAUCAGUCUGGAGCCUA